rnacentral:rRNA from 1 species
GACGAACGCUGGCGGCGUGCUUAACACAUGCAAGUCGAACGGAAAGGCCCUGCGUUUGUGGGGUGCUCGAGAGGCGAAAGGGUGAGUAACACGUGAGUAACCUGCCCUUGGCUUUGGUCUAACUUCUGGAAGCUGGGGCUAAUACCGGAUCGGUUCUCCUGCUGCAGGGGGUGGGUAGGAUAGUUUCGGCGGCUGGGGAUGGACUCGCGGCUUAUCAGCUUGUUGGUGGGGUAGUGGCUUACCAAGGCGGUGACGGGUAGCCGGCCUGAGAGGGUGACCGGCCACACUGGGACUGAGAUACGGCCCAGACUCCUACGGGAGGCAGCAGUGGGGAAUAUUGCACAAUGGGCGGAAGCCUGACGCAGCGACGCCGCGUGCGGGAUGACGGCCUUCGGGUUGUAAACCGCUUUCGGCUGGGACGAAGCGUGAGUGACGGUAAUGGGAGAAGAAGCACCGGCUAACUACGUG